UCAUUAAUCAGUUAUCGUUUAUUUGAUAGUACCUCAUUACUUGGAUACCUGUGGUAAUUCUAGAGCUAAUACAUGCUAAAAACCUCGACUUCGGAAGGGGUGUAUUUAUUAGAUAAAAAACCAAUGCCCUCCGGGGCUCCUGGGUGAUUCAUAAUAACUUAACGAAUCGCAUGGCCUUGCGCCGGCGAUGGUUCAUUCAAAUUUCUGCCCUAUCAACUUUCGAUGGUAGGAUAGUGGCCUACCAUGGUUUCUACGGGUAACGGGGAAUUAGGGUUCUAUUCCGGAGAGGGAGCCUGAGAAACGGCUACCACAUCCAAGGAAGGCAGCAGGCGCGCAAAUUACCCAAUCCCGACACGGGGAGGUAGUGACAAUAAAUACUGAUGCAGAGCUCUUUCGGGUUUUGCAGUUGGAAUGAGUACAAUUUAAAUCCCUUAAACGAGGAACAAUUGGAGGGCAAGUCUGGUGGGCGAAGUGCCCCAGCCCCGAGCUACUAUAGCUUCGGGGGCUGGCGCCAGUAAAACGUUAGGCUCCGGGUGCCGGGGCUUAAUUAAGUGGGGGGCGUUGCCCCCGCGAGGUAUCCGGUACGGGGAAGGGCCAUUUAGGUGGCCCUAUCCCGUGGUUAGGGGCCCCAAAAGCCUCUUUCCGUAACGCGCGCCAGGGUGCCGGCGGACCACGCCCAGAUGGUCCGUCUAAGGGACGUGCUAAUCCCGCCCGUUUAGGGUUAACAUGCCUUUUAUUCGGGGCUGUGUAGGGAAGGGAUGCU
rnacentral:rRNA from 1 species